rnacentral:tRNA from 1 species
GUGUCUGUAGCCUAGUUGGUAAAGGAAGCACUCUGUUACAUUGCUGAGGUUGUGAGUACAAAUCUCACCAGGCACA